UACUGAGUGAUCUAAUUACAAAGGAACAUCUAGAAAGAACCUCCCCAUGGAUGGCAAUGAACCAAAUUUUUGUUUACUUGAAAUGGGGCACCAUAUCUAGCCAAAGAAUCUUUUGCUAGAUGCUACACAAACAUGAAUGUACGUGCAAUCCAUGAAGCAGGAAGUAACCUCCUUUUACCCCAAAGAAGGGAGGAAAAAAGAAAAAAAGGACAUGCAAGA
rnacentral:lncRNA from 1 species